CCUACGGGUGGCAGCAGUGGGGGAUAUUGCACAAUGGGGGAAACCCUGAUGCAGCGACGCCGCGUGUGGGAAGACGGUCUUCUGGAUUGUAAACCACUGUCCCCAGGGACGAAAAUGACGGUACCUGGGGAGGAAGCUCCGGCUAACUACGUGCCAGCAGCCGCGGUAAUACGUAGGGAGCAAGCGUUGUCCGGAAUUACUGGGUGUAAAGGGAGCGUAGGCGGGGAUGGAAGUUGGGUGUCAAAACUACCGGCUCAACCGAUAGUCGCACUCAAAACUGCAGCUCUUGAGUGAAGUAGAGGCAGGCGGAAUUCCUAGUGGAGCGGUGAAAUGCGUAGAUAUUAGGAGGAACACCAGUGGCGAAGGCGGCCUGCUGGGCUUUUACUGACGCUGAGGCUCGAAAGUGUGGGGAGCAAACAGGAUUAGAUACCCGGGUAGUC
rnacentral:rRNA from 1 species